GAGGUGGAUUAGGCAUUUGAUGAGAGACUCAAAACUAUGAGAGGCGAUGUCACAGAGUGAAGUUUCUAUUAUCACAGGAGAUUUCUUCGAGCAGAUCUUUGGUCAGAGUGGACACAGCCUAUGAUGGAGGUGAGAUCGAGCAACCUAGCUUGACUCUCAUAUUUGCCCAUCCAUGAGACAGCAGGGUUGCCCCAGGGUCUGGGGCUGAGACGGAUCAUAAGCUCUUAGAGAUAGAUGGAGGUUGAAUAUCAAGUCGAGGUAGAGAUUGUUGAGAUUUGAUAUCUUAAGAUUCGAUCUACACUGAGCCCACAGUGAGGUCCAGAAUGACGAACGG
rnacentral:lncRNA from 1 species